CAGCAGCCGCGGUAAUACGGAGGGAGCUAGCGUUGUUCGGAAUUACUGGGCGUAAAGCGCGCGUAGACGGUUACUCAAGUCAGAGGUGAAAGCCCGGGGCUCAACCCCGGAACUGCCUUUGAAACUAGGUGACUAGAAUCUUGGAGAGGUCAGUGGAAUUCCGAGUGUAGAGGUGAAAUUCGUAGAUAUUCGGAAGAACACCAGUGGCGAAGGCGACUGACUGGACAAGUAUUGACGCUGAGGUGCGAAAGCGUGGGGAGCAAACAGGAUUAGAUACCCCCGUAGUCCCUGUCUCUUAUAC
rnacentral:rRNA from 1 species